GAUGAACGCUGGCGGCGUGCCUAAUACAUGCAAGUCGAGCGAACGGACGAGAAGCUUGCUUUUCUGAUGUUAGCGGCGGACGGGUGAGUAACACGUGGAUAACCUACCUAUAAGACUGGGAUAACUUCGGGAAACCGGAGCUAAUACCGGAUAAUAUUUUGAACCGCAUGGUUCAAAAGUGAAAGACGGUCUUGCUGUCACUUAUAGAUGGAUCCGCGCUGCAUUAGCUAGUUGGUAAGGUAACGGCUUACCAAGGCAACGAAGCAUAGCCGACCUGAGAGGGUGAUCGGCCACACUGGAACUGAGACACGGUCCAGACUCCUACGGGAGGCAGCAGUAGGGAAUCUUCCGCAAUGGGCGAAAGCCUGACGGAGCAACGCCGCGUGAGUGAUGAAGGUCUUCGGAUCGUAAAACUCUGUUAUUAGGGAAGAACAUAUGUGUAAGUAACUGUGCACAUCUUGACGGUACCUAAUCAGAAAGCCACGGCUAACUACGUG
rnacentral:rRNA from 1 species